GUCCACGCCCUAAACGAUGUCAACUGGUUGUUGGUGGGGUUAAACCCAUUAGUAACGAAGCUAACGCGUGAAGUUGACCGCCUGGGGAGUACGGCCGCAAGGUUAAAACUCAAAGGAAUUGACGGGGACCCGCACAAGCGGUGGAUGAUGUGGAUUAAUUCGAUGCAACGCGAAGAACCUUACCUACCCUUGACAUGUACGGAAGCUUGCUGAGAGGCGAGUGUGCUCGAAAGAGAGCCGUAACACAGGUGCUGCAUGGCUGUCGU
rnacentral:rRNA from 1 species